CGUAGGGGGCAAGCGUUGUCCGGAUUUAUUGGGCGUAAAGAGCGUGUAGGCGGCUUGGCAAGUCCGCUGUGAAAACUCGGGGCUUAACCUCGAGACGUCGGUGGAAACUGCCUGGCUAGAGUCCGGAAGAGGAGUGUGGAAUUCCUGGUGUAGCGGUGAAAUGCGCAGAUAUCAGGAAGAACACCUAUGGCGAAGGCAGCACUCUGGGACGGUACUGACGCUGAGACGCGAAAGCGUGGGGAGCGAACAGGAUUAGAUACCCUGGUAGUCCACGCCGUAAACGAUGGAUGCUAGGUGUGGGCGGUGUCGAUUCCGUCCGUGCCGAAGCUAACGCAUUAAGCAUCCCGCCUGGGGAGUACGGCCGCAAGGCUA
rnacentral:rRNA from 1 species